rnacentral:rRNA from 1 species
ACUCCUACGGGAGGCAGCAGUCGGGAAUAUUGCGCAAUGGAGGAAACUCUGACGCAGUGACGCCGCGUAUAGGAUGAAGGUUUUCGGAUUGUAAACUAUUGUCGUUAGGGAAGAUAAAAGACAGUACCUAAGGAGGAAGCUA